rnacentral:rRNA from 1 species
CAAGCAAGAAAGAGCACAAGGAGAAUGCCUUGGCACUAGGAGCCGAUGAAAGACGUGAUAAGCUGCGAUAAGCUUCGGGGAGGCGCAAAUAGCCAUCGAUCCGGAGAUUUCUGAAUGGGGAAACCUACUUGAGCAAACCUCAAGUAUCCAUACGUAAAUACAUAG